GGGUCACCGGGUCAUGGGCGCCAGCGGGCGGCGGCAGCGUCAGGGGCAUGGGGAUGUGGGGAGAGGGAACGAGGGGUCCGACCUAGCCCGAAAGCGAGCUCUGGGGCUUUCUCCUGUCGUACUGGCCACUACCUGAGUCCAGGUUGGGGCAACAGAACUACAGUUACGGAAGAAAAGUACACAUUAUUCCACUUCUUCCUUCCGCAACGCACCCUUUCCUGAGCUUUCUACCCCCCUGAACCUGCCCAGCUGGAUGCGACGUCCCAGGGGCUCAUGGUGAAGCUAGCUGGUCAGUCUGGCUGAUCCUAGGUGCUUGCCAGAUGUCGAAACCGCUGAUAGCCCUAGCACUCAACCCACGGGAGGUCACAGGGACAAAGCAGAUAGGAAAAAGAGACUGAAAUGGAGCAGCCAGUGCAGCAGGAGGAGCACAGUUUUGAGUGCUGUUUCAUAAUGCAGUAAUUUUGAAAACAUUCUAAAUGAAAAUUUGGAAUCUGAAUUUAAGUCAAUGUGCAGCUGUAUAAUGUGUGACCCCAGUGCAAAAACAGAUCACAACUUGAAGCAAGGCUCUUCUUUUACUUAGACAGUCUGGACUGAGGCUCCUUAAAUGUUAAUUUGUAAAGAAAUCAUCACCAUGUACAUACAGUAGGACCUCUUGGACCAACAGCACCAACGGGACCAACAACACCAGCAGGACCCUGUGAGUUGAAAAAGAAAAACAUAACUGAUCAGCCAAGCCCAAAACUCUCCUCCCCAAGCCCCCAUAGUUCCCAAGUGUGGGGAGGUCACAAGGGAAGCCUACAAAGAUGGCAGCACAAAGGGACUGGUAUUUACAAACUUACAGGUUCACCACGGUUUCCAUGUUUUCCAGUGGGACCCACGGGGCCAUGAGGACCAGGUGCGCCCACAGCGCCAACUGGACCAAUGUUGCCAGGGUAACCGCGUUCUCCCUACCAAAGGCAAAGUGAAGUUUAGCAUCAAACUGUCCUGUGUUUUAGUCACUUUUCAACUGGAGAAAGACAGAGAGGUAUACUGACCUUGUGUCCAGGUUGACCGUCGCGGCCUGGGGGACCAUCAUUCCCAGGGUUGCCCUGUGAAGACACCACACCAAUGAAGGCACUUAGUGAGGCUCUUUAACCCACCAGCUCCUAUAGUUCAGCUCCUCUGUCUUCAUCACUCCCAGUGCUCACUAGUGAACCCACUUUCAGACUGUUAAAAGACAGGAGCAAGAUCUUGCCAACCUAGUUUCUUUUAGAGGUGUUUUGGAUAUUUUGGCCAACUUUGAAGCAUGCUCUUCAAAGACCCAUCCAUCCCCCAGUCCAAGUAAUUUUUCGUAUUUUCAAUACCAGGAGUGGUCAGUACAUGCUGAUUUAAUGGAGAAACAGACCAUCUUGUUCCAAAACUUGGAACAAGAGGAACUCAGCUCAGGAUAUGAUGUUGCACAUAAUGAAACACAGCUAGGUUUUCUAGCUAUGUUUCUGUAGUUAGUAUGUGGUCCAGUACGACAAACCAAGCGUCAUACUCACAUCGCGACCAGCUUCACCAGGAGCACCAUUGACUCCAGGUGCGCCCACAGCACCAGAGGGACCACGAGCCCCA